UUGUCGAGCGUUGAGGGAUUGGAUUUGAAUGGGCGUAGCGGCUGCGGCUUCACUUGGCGCCCUAAUCGUAUACUGCGUCACUUAUCAUCUUCCACAAAUCUGCUAUUUUAGCCAUUGUGUCAUCAAAAAAGACAAUGGGCUAACAAUCUGCUUGGGUUUACGGCUGGUGAAUCUUUGAAACCAGAACACCUCUGUAUCUCGGUGCUGUAAAAUUAUGCUUUCUUCUUCUUCUUCCAACGACAAUCGAUUCACCGGAGAUCCUGCUGCUAAUCUCCCUCGCACCUUCAAAUAAUUAUUAGGAGAGAGCUAUUGUGUUUGCAUUGUCUCAGAUUGCAUAUGGAGCUUGUAUUUUCUUGUGCUAUUGGGGUUAUCUUCUCCUUCUGCAUGGAUAUAAAACUUCCGUUCUCUUUCCUUUCAGGGUAGGAAACUACGAUAAACAACUCUAAAAAAUGCGCACGUGAUCACCCUUUAGUCGUUCCAGAAAUUGAUUCAGCAAGAAGGAGAAAAGUUGGUCCUUGUGUAACCACACACCAUAUAACCAAGCUGUAUAUGGACUCGUAGACAAAUUAGGUAGCUUGGUUGUGAGAUUGGUGUUGCUACCUUUCGACGAAAGCUAGUACGCAACAUUUGGAAGGUCUGCAUCAGGAGAAGAUGUACAGAAGAAAAGGAAAUUACAGACUUAUCUAAGAGAUGCUUUGAAGCUUGUUAUGUUAGUCGGAUUGGUGUUUUAUGGCAUUUGGGCCCAGCUAUUCUUACUCUCUCAUAAGAGUGUUUUAUGGUCGUAAAUGGAGUGAUGGAGAAGCAAUUGCAGCUCUAAAAUAUUACUGUUUGUAUGAUUCUCCGUCUUUUUUACUUCCACGACUGUUUACCUGGUGGUUGGACAAUUUUGUUAUUUCAAGUGCAGUGACUCUUGUUUCCGGAAAAAGUAUUUCUGGACCGCGAUAACUUCUGGCCAACAUUUUGCGUUCACUUUUUCAAUGGAUUCACUAGCUUCUACUUACCAAACACUUGUAACAUAUGCCUAUUAGAACUUCAAAGAACAAAAUCACAUCCGAACACUAUCUCCUAUAACUCGUUAUUACAACCCAUUUCUGGUUCUAAUUAUUCAUGAUCAUGUAAACACUUUCAAAACGCACAUCCAAACACACCUUAAUUGUCACCAAAGAAGUGCUGUUAACCGCCCUGGUUAAUUUAAUAUUUUUUGUUUGUUUA